AAUGCGAUACUUGGUGUGAAUUGCAGAAUCCCGCGAAUCAUCGAGUUUUUGAACGCAAGUUGCGCCCGAAGCCAUUCGGUCGAGGGCACGUCUGCCUGGGUGUCACG
rnacentral:rRNA from 1 species